UUCCAGAGGGGGACUUGCGGAAGGAUCAGUCUUGAAUUUCAUUAUGAGGAGUUGACUUGUUGCUGGCCUUUUCUACCUUAAUUUGGCAGGAGGGGCAUGUGCCACCUUCUCUUUCAUCCAUCACACCACCCGGGCACUUGUGACACAGCAAUAGUUGGUGGAUUUAAUUCCAUCAUCCAUUUGCUGUCUACUUAAUUUACACACACUCUACUUAAUUUAAACUGAAAGUAAUUGAUGUAACGCAUCUAAUACUAAAUUUCAACAACGGAUCUCUUGGCUCUCGCAUCAAUGAAGAACGCACCGAAAUGCGAUAAGUAAUGUGAAUUGCACAAAUCAGUGAAUCAUCCAAUCUUUGAACGCACCUUGCGCUCCUUGGUAUUCCUUGGAGCAUGACUGUUUGAAUAUCAUGAAAUCUUCAAAGUAAACCUUUUGUUAAUUCAAUUGGUCUUUUUUACUUUGGUUUUGGAGGAUCCUAUUGCAACUUCACACCUGCUCCUCUUUGUGCAUUAGCUGGAUCUCAAUGUUAUGCUUGGUUCCACUCGGCGUGAUAAAUUAUCUAUCGCUGAAGACACCCCUAAAAAAGGUGGCCAAGGAAAAUGCAGAUGAACCCCUUCUAAUAACCCACUGACGUCGACAAUACUCUAUCUUACGAUCUGACUCAAAUCAAGUAGAAAGACCAGCCGAACUUAAGCAUAUCAAUAUCCGGAGAAAA
rnacentral:rRNA from 1 species